rnacentral:lncRNA from 1 species
UAUGACUUGCAUUGCCACGACGGAAGACACUAGGGACAGCAAUUGACAAUCAACCGCAAAGAUGUAAAAUAUUAAGGUAGGUAGAGUAAAAAAGCAUUACCAACUGUAUCUGGUGUGCUUUACAUAUAAUUAUGCACAGAUAAAAUGAACAUUGUAGACAAUUGCAGCGAAUACGAGCGACAAUUUUUUUUUUCAGCUAGUAAGAUAACAGAAUAUCAAGGUAAGUCGGGCUAAAAAGCAUUUACAAACUGUAUGUAUAUAUGGUGUGCUUUAGCUUUAUUCACAGACUGAAAGAACUCUAAAUCCUGAAAAGUAGACAAUUGCAGCAAAAGAACUACAAGUACAGGAAGAAGAGUUAAGAUUGAAAGAACUCCAAACCAGAAAAAAAUCAUGGUGGCAAAUGCAGCAAGACGGGAGAAAAAGAGUUAAGCUUUAUUCAAAGACUGAAAGGGCUCGCAAGCACGAAAAAGUAGACAAUUGCAGCAAUAGAGCUACAAGUACAGAAAGAGAAUAGUUAAGAUUGAACGAACUCUAAACCAGACAAAGAACAUGACGCAUUUCGGCAAGUCUAGCAAGCUAUAACACGUACUGGUACAAGUUGAAGAGAGUUAAGUAAAGUUUGUAUUUCGUAUGACGGUAUGACUUGCAUUGCCACGACGGAUGAAACUAGGGACAGCAAUUGACAAUCAACCGCAAAGAUGUAAAAUAUUAAGCUUUAUUCACAGACAGAAAGAACUCUAAAUCCUGAAAAGUAGACAAUUGCAGCAAAAGAGCUACAAGUACAGGAAGAUGGGAGUUAAGGUAUGUUGAGUGCAAAUCACAUUUUGUGCUAUUAUUGUAUUGUUAAUGUUUCAAGUUUUUUAAAAGCAUUAUUGUGAUUU